GGCAUCAGAGCUUCUAACUCUGUUGGAUCAUGCAGUUCAAAGUUUGAUAGCAGUGACAGGAGUUAUGUUGGACACUUGCAUUGUGUGAUUGAUUUUGCUGUCUUUCACUGGUUUAUACAGAAUUUGGUAUAAAAUUUAUAGGGAUUUUGGUCAAGCAACAAAGCAUGAUUCUAACACAUUAUGGUUAGGGCUAAAAAAAGGAUGGCUUUAUUUCAAAUGAAAGGCUAAAUGACAAUCCAUUCUAUAAAAGUGUUGGAGAUGGGAAAAUAAAACAUGUGUUCUUAGUCUUUAUUGAUGAUGGCCUUGGAAAAGGCUCAUAUGUAGAUAUAGCAUGAUACAUUCAAUGACAGGGGGACCAGGAAGAAGAGCUAACUAGCAGGAUAGUAACGACCAACAAUUUAAAGUUUCUGGUUUAUUUUUGAAACUAACAGAAUUUUUAUGGUUCCUUGUAUUUCACGAAAGGUGUGCAGGGACAGAAAUUGUGAUUCCAAACAAACAAGAAGAUGCUGAAGCCAAACUAUCUCAGCUGUUUUUUGUGGACAUAAUAAUUUGCCCUCUAUCCUGAUUGUGUUUUCAUACAUUAUGCUGUUAUAUCAUGAGAUGUGUGGAAUGAGAUGUGUCUUAAUAUAGUGUUAUAAGAAUGAAAGCACCUUGUAUCACAAAUGGAACAAUCACAUUAAAUUCUUUAAUGUUCACUAUCAGAAAAAAAAAAUUACCUGCAGCACAAAAGGUAUGUAGGCACGGAACAAUUGCUGCAGAUGAGUUUGGUUGUUGUUGUGACAUGGUUUAAAUAGGAGCAGGCUUACUCAUAAUCAUGUUUCAGCUUUGGAUAUUUAAAGAUCCAGGGUGGUCUAUUUUGUGAUUCUUUUAUGGAUCACUUCCAGGUUCCUGGAUAUGAAAAUGGGAACUUCGUGGGUCCUACCAUCUUGUCUGAUGUCAUAGUCAACAUGGAAUGUUACAAGGUAGUUUAUGACCUGUGUGUAUAAAUGAACUUGUAUGAUUUCUGUUAAGGCAUAAACUUCAUGAUUUCUGUGUGUAGAUGUCUGCAGAUAGUGUGUGUAGGAGGAACACAAUAGAAUAGGCAAAUUUUGCUGGAUUAUUUAUUUAUUUAUUGGACUACAGCAAAUCACACUCUUUGUUUAUAUAGUUUCCUCUUUCAGAUCACAUGCUCGCACUUCUUUUUCUGCGUGAUUUCUGCCAGUGCUGUGUCGCUCUCUUCCGUCUCUUUGUUGGGUGGGGAGAUGGGUUGGCUUCAAUGGUAUAUGUAUAAAAUAUAUGAAAUGCAAACUUGAUCACAUUUGGUGGUCUGGAUGAUUCUUUGUUUGUAGUGGGAUUAUUGCUAUCAAGGUUUUGUUGGUAGGAAGAGGACAAGGAGAGGUACCAUAAAGGAAUAAAACAUUUCUGUGCAUUUUGGAUUUAUAGAGAUU
rnacentral:misc_RNA from 1 species